rnacentral:lncRNA from 1 species
AUGACAUGACCCUAGAUAGGAAGGUCUGGAAGACGCGAAUUACGGCAGAGGAUUAGGGCCAGUUCGGGUCGCUAGUGUAGGGAAUUAAUUGGUGGGGGUGUAUUCCUGUUAUGAUUCCGUAUUCAGUGUUUCGUGUUCCGUGUUCCAUGUUUAUUACGAAUCUGUGUGCUUUCCUCUGCUUUAUAUUCCUGCAUUCCUGCUUUACUCUGUUUUAUAUUCCUUAUGGGUGCCGUAUCUAUGUUAUGUCAUCUGCUUCUGUGCUGUACUAUGUGUUUGUGUGAUAUCUCGUGACUUGAGCCGGGGGUCUUUCGGAAACAGCCUUUCUACUUCAUCAGAGGUAGAGGUAUGGACUGCGUACAUCUUACCCCCCCCAGACCCCACUAAGUGGGAAUACACUGGGUUUGUUGUUGUUGUUGUUGUUGUUGUAUAUGUAUGUAAAAAUGGAAUCCUAUAAGAGGAAUAUAUAUGGUCAAAAGUAUCAACAUAAUUACAUAUACUCCUAAAAUAUAUGGGUUCUCCAAAAUACACCAGCUCUCAUGCACUUUUCAACUGCAUUGUUCCUAAGACCAGAAAGGUAUACUCCUCUUUUGACUAAUUGCACUCUCUCGGAAUUAUUAAGUGUAUUUAUUCCUCCUUUAAAAAUAGACGUUUUGUAUUGUUAGGUAGACGAUGAGUGGAGACUAUCGGUGUAACAAGAAUUACCUAAUACAUAAGAGGGAUUAAUUAAGACCAAUUUAUUGAUCAUGGAAUAAAUCAUUUAGCUAGGAUGAGUUUUAGCAGAGAACGAGAGGAGCAAUUUUACAUUGUGCCUCGUUUAUGCCUUUAUGGUACUACAAAAAUAGAAAAAUUAGUAUAUUUUUCACUGAGUAUUCAUAUAUUGUUAAUUUGAUAUGCUCAUGAGAUUUUUCAGUUUGUCUCGGUGUUGUUUAUAUUUUAUAUAUAAUAAGAGUGUUACUAUUUUAACUAAAAUUAUUCGAUUUUAGCGUCUUACUACGUGUAGGCGGCAAAUCAAUUCUACCCGGUGAGUCUCAUUCAAGGUUUGAAAUCGAAGUUCAUGGACUUCGUGAGAUCUCAAUGUCAAUACUGCAUUUUUAAAAUCACAUUUUUCAAAGUAAGAAUUUACUCUUUUGGUACUUUAAGAUUGAUGGACUGAAUCUUUGACACGACUCGAACCAGGGCCUAGCCGUGUCGGGUAUCUCAAAUCCAAUGAGGAUUUGAGGACCGGAGAUCACCCCCAAUACCCAACCGUUGACCACCCUACACCCUUUGUCGGAUGAAUUCCGAACAUAUAACAAGAUAAAACAAUAAUAAUUCAAGAACACUAAAUAAAGUCUAUAAUCGUAAUCCAACAACCUCUACUAAAUAUCCAACUGGUGCCAAACUCAAUGUCAAUACCAAUACUAAGGCUGACACCAAUACCGACACCGCCUAUGCCCAUAGUAGUCCGACAUAUUGUAGUACCCUGUACUUUUUCCUAGCUAAUUUCUUCUCAAGAAUGUCUAGUAUUAUCUUCUAAAUUGAAUGAUGUUUAUUCUAUGAGGAAUUUCCAAGAUUUUAAAUAUUUGUCAUGUGGGAAAUUCAAUAAGCUUUCCAUCGAUAUAAGAUUCGCCCAAAUCUGAUAACCGAGUUAGAAGUUACGACUAUUUUAAGUUCCUGUCGUAAAACAAUGCCAUAUAAGUCAGUGGCACGCUGCGCUACAAGCGGAAAUGACAUUUGGCAAAUUCCAGUAUGGGUCUGAGAUUAUGGCGCAUCGCGCCAGGUCCUAAAUUUAGAAUUGUCCUUUUCCAGUGUCUUAGCGCGAUUUCCUCCGCGUCGCGCCAAAGCUGCAGGUCACAAAAGAAGGGGCAACGCGAUGGCUCCGCGUCGCGCUAUCCCUCAAUUUCCCAAUUGUCAAUUUCCAGUGACACGGCGCGAUAACGCUGCGUUGCGCCAGGGGCCCAGUUUGGGUAAAUUUAAUUGAAAUUAAAUGACGCGUCCAGGGUUAAAAGGGUCAAUUUUUUACCCCUAUUUAAACCCAAUAUCACGUGAUUUAGUCAUUCUUUACCCAAAAUAUACUAUUUUCUCUCAAGUUUCUUUCAAGAACAAGCUAGGGUUUCUACUGGGGAUUCAAAUUCAAGAAAGUUUCACCAUCAAUCUUCACAAAAUCACGAACCAAGGUAUGCGUAGUGUUCAUUCAUGGACUCCUUUCGUCCAUGAAGCCCAAGAAUUUCUUUUCUAAGUUUAAGUUUAUGGAUUUAUUUAUGAAUUUCAUGUUUGGUUUGUCUUGUUUAUGUUGAGAAUAAUCAGUUGAAUUCAAAUCCAUGUUGGGUGAUCAAUUUUAUUUGGAAUUGAUUUGUAUAGACGUAUAUUCAUGUGAACCUAUGAAUAAACCCUAGGAUGAUGAAAUUAGAGAUGAAUCAUGAUGAUUAAUUGUUGUAUAAUGUUGUCUAUAUGUGUUAUGCCUACCAUGUGUUUGAGUAAAUUCCUAGAUGAAGGACCAAUGCCCAACUAGUAUGAUAUCAUGAAAUCCCCAUGUAUGUACAAGUUAUGCCCAUCACAUGUUUUGAUGGAAUGCUUCUAUAAAUGCAUUAUGGAUUAUGAUAUUAUUUAUAUGUUCAAGUAAGUUAUGCUUGGUCAGUUUCCUUCCAUCGAGCCCUAGGGGUACUUGUACCCGAAACAUUAGCUGUGUGCUUAGAGCCAUGUCAUGUUUCCACGAUACUCUUAGUCAAGUUAUGAAUUCUUAGACUUUAAACAGUCGUAUGACUUAGGAAAUUUCCAUGAUCUCAUGGACUCAGUCAGUUGUCAGAUAUCAGUAAUAUUCUAUCAGUCAAUGGAAUUCAGUAACUCAGUCCAUGUUUAGUUCAGUAAUUUUGUUCAGUGUCUAUUCAGAUGGGAGUAGAAAUUAGCACUGAGUGAACCUAAGGAUGGGAACUCACCUAUCAUAUAAGGGUGUAAUUCUUAGAAGCAAUCAUUGCGUUCCAGAACUAUGUAGCGAGCAUAGGUUGAGACAUCAUAGCCUGCUAUAUGAGGGUAGAUAAGGUGGCUUAGCCUGAUAUAUGAGGGUUCCCACCAUUCUCACUAUAGUUACUAGUUAUAUUAGGGUCACUCACAUAUUGUCUUUACCAGUGGCGCGGUAUUGACACCCUUUCAAUCAGGGCAUAAAUUGGACCCUAAUUCAGCUAUAAUGCAUUAUUUGGGGUAUGUCGGUUAGAUGACUACCUCCCAUAGUCUCAAUAUCAGUCUUAGUAAAAGAACACAAAUAGUUUUUCAGAAUUCAGGGCUAUCAGAUACAGUCAACUUAGACACAGUACGAAACUCAGAUAGUUCUAUCAGAUUUAGGGCUGUCAGAUAUAGUCACUCAUAUUAUCAGUUAUAUUUAGAUUCAGUAAUCAUGUUAUCGCAGUAUUAGUGUCAGUUGUUAUAUCCCACACAUGUAUUCUCAUGCUCAUGAUAGUUAGUCAGUUAUUAUUAUUGUUCAUGCAUAUGAACCCCAUGCAUUUAGCCUACCUCACAUGCAUACCAGUACAUUCAAAGUACUGAUGCAUUUACACUAUGGUGUCUUAUACCAUAGGUUCAGAGACACGAGCUCCAGAUCAGCAGUAGAUACCAGUUUCAGCAGUCAGAGUUAGAAGUGAGUCCUCAUUAUUAAGGACCUGAUUAUUCCCCAUUAUCUCAUUAAGUAUUUUAUUAGUUGGAGUUAGUUGGGGACAUGUCCCAUCAACUCCUUAUUCAGAUUAUUCAGACAGUAGAUAUUUUCAGACUAGAUGUAGACAAUCAUGUUUUAGAAUUCAAUGUUUACAGUUUUGUUUUAGGUAUUGUAUUACCCCACAAAUGUUAUCUCAUCCAUGUUAUGUUCAGUAUUGAACCUUUUGGCCUUUCAGCGCAUGUUUCUGCAUUAUUUAGUAAUUUGUGUAGUAUAUAAGUACAAAUAUCAGUCAUGGUUUAGCUUGUGGUCCUUCGGGGUCAUGAGCACCGUGUAGCGUUCCGGGUAACAGAUUCAGGGCGUUACACAAAUCCUCUAAUUAGAAUCAAGUAACAUCCGAUCGGGACAUAUCCCCAACCAUAGACAAAACUGAAAUCCAAGAAAGAACAAUAAAUAAAAGAAAUAUAUUACAUGAAAUGGAGCCUUCCGAACUAUGGAAGCUCACCCCUUCAAUCUGACUCAAAGCUGUCCCCGAUUCUAAGUCACUAAGAAGGAGGAAUAAUAGUAUGAUCGGUUCCUGCAUCGCGUAGGGAUACCACGCCCAAAGACGGUUAGCGGAGUGAACGCUAGCAUGUACUAAGGUAUAAAGAUAAAAUAAUGCCAUAAUUCAAAACCAAAUCUAAUAACCAUAUAUAAUCACACAUAUACAUAUAUACCGUACCGUGAUAGGAAAUUGGGUUUAGCAUGUAUUUAAAAACUUAACCUAGGUUGAGUAGAUUGACCAAUCCUAAAAUCACCCAUGGGUUAUAUGGGUUCAGCUCCCCCUGCUGAAAGGGAAUCCGUGCGUGUUAGCCGCACGAUCGGAGAAAAAAAACUAAGAUGACUAGUACAUCUCUAUAACACCUCGAUUUUCUAAAUUGAAAUUCUACAUGAUGCUUAUGACCCCGAAGGACCACAAACUAACCCAUGAAUUAUAUUUGUACCUGUAUAUUGUAUAAUAUAACAUAAAUAUGCGGAAACAUGUACUAAAUGGCCAUAAGGUUCAACUGAAUAAACAUUUGACAAGAACAAUGUCUGAAAAUGGUAUAACCAUACCAAAACAAAUCUGAAAUAACUGUCUAACAUGCUAUAGUCUGGAAAGCCUCUAAACUGUCUGAACAAGGAGUUGAUGGGACAUGUCCCCAACUAACUCCAACUACUAAAAUAAACUGAAAACUUAAAUAGUAAUGAAAUCAACGUGUCCUCAAAAGAUGAGGACUUAUUUCUAACUCUGACUGCUGUUACUAGAAUCUACUGCUGAUCUGGAGCUUGUGCCUCUAAACCUAUGGUGUAACAUAAGAGAAAGAACCAUAGAGAAAAUAUGUCAGUACGACUGAA